GGUCUGAACACUCAUCCCCCAACACCACUUUCUGGACAUGGCUCAGGAGGAAGGAGGGGAACCACUGCAUAGCAGGGCCCUCAGCUCCCCUAGAGGGUCUAGAAGGAUACCAUGGUCAAAGGUCUCCAAAGCCGCUGAGAGAUCCAGCAGAACCAGGAAACAGCUUUCCCCUUGGUCUCUAGCCCAUCGGAGAUCAUCAAGCAGCGCAACCAGGGCAGUUUCAGUCCCAUGAUGAGGCCUGAAUCCCAAUUGGAAGGAUCAUGGUGGCAGAAGCUUUCCUGGUCCUGCAGCCCACAAAAGCUCCAGCCACAAGACGUUCAUUAGCUUUGAAGGGGCCACUGGAUUUGUGGUCUUUUCUUCAAAAGACAAAUAUUCUGAAUACCUUUACAGUGACGUAUGAUGUAAAUAGCGCUUCUGUUUUCCAGAAUUCCCCAGCCCACCAAGGAUUUGAGACCCAUCAGGUAUCCUCACCUGGUUUAGCCGGCCAGUUGAAGCCGUUCCUGGGAUUGUGGCCCUUUUGAAUGCUGACAGCUUCUCUCAGGAUUUCCUUUCCUCCCACUUUGAAGAAGGUGAUGGAGAAGACAUUCAGAAUUCUGAGGGAUGGGGCACUUUGGUUUCAUUAGGUAUAGACAUUUAAAUGUGUGAAAUGUGGAAUAUGCUUCACUGAAUGAGCACACAUAGCUCACAUCAAC